UACUUAAGCAUAUCAAUAAGCGGAGGAAAAGAAACUAACAAGGAUUCCCCUAGUAACUGCGAGUGAAGCGGGAAAAGCUCAAAUUUAAAAUCUGUCAGCUUUGCUGUCCGAGUUGUAAUCUAGAGAAGCAUUUUCCGUGCUAGACUGUGUACAAGUCUCCUGGAAUGGAGCAUCAUAGAGGGUGAGAAUCCUGUCUUUGACACAGACUACUGGUGCUUUGUGAUAUGCUCUCAACGAGUCGAGUUGUUUGGGAAUGCAGCUCAAAAUGGGUGGUGAACUCCAUCUAAAGCUAAAUAUUGGCGAGAGACCGAUAGCGAACAAGUACCGUGAGGGAAAGAUGAAAAGCACUUUGGAAAGAGAGUGAAACAGUACGUGAAAUUGCUGAAAGGGAAACGCUUGAAGUCAGUCGCAUUGGCUAGAAUUCAGCCCCUGUGGUGUAUUUUCUAGUGAAUGGGCCAGCAUCAUUUUGAAUCAUUGGAAAAAGGCAGAGGAAAGGUGGCACCCUUUUUGGGUGUGUUAUAGUCCUUUGUCAAAUACAGUGGUUUGGAGUGAGGAAUGCCAUUGGUAGGAUGCUGGCAUAAUGGCUUUAAACGACCCGG
rnacentral:rRNA from 1 species